GUUUUGUUUUGUUUUUUCCUUGUAAGAUACAGUAAAAUGCACAAUUUUUGUGUAUGUGGGCAAAAAGUAUCUUUUAACAAAAAAGUCAAAACACUGCUUCUUUUCAAAAAUUCUCCAAUUAAUUCUGAAUUUUAAAUGACUGCUAAAUUAAAUGUUUCCUGUCGCACGUUAACAAUAAGGGGCCUUCGAUUGAAAGGAGCUCAGUGUAAUCUUAUUGAGCCAGUAGCCUUACGAAUAAGAGGAAACAUGUUUGAAUCACAGGAGAGCACGGAUGCUGGAUGGGUCUGUAAAAUGCUGUCUGUUGUGGUAUCAGCUGACUGAUGGCUGUGAUUCUCAGAAGGACUCCAACAAUAUGCCUUCUAAAAGCUGGAGAUUAAUGCAACCAUGGUGAACCACACAGCGACACUCUGGCAAAGAAAAAGGGUCAGGACUGGCAAGAUGUGGCAGGUGUCAAAAUAAAAGGUCAAAAAUAUAAAAGAACUUACCUGGAAUUGUGAAAGAAAUAAGUUGUUUUCUUUUCCAGCUCAAAAUUUCAGGACAACUUUCCAGCACAAAGCAUGUCACAAUCUUCUAUUUUCUAACAUCUCACACUGAAGCAUGGCUUCAAUGGAGCAACAGGGAUAUCAGGGUGGAAGCCAAGGAAGGAAAGCAGUGUAAAAGAGCAAUAUUGCUGGGUAUCCACUUCAGCCAUUUGAAGACAUUAUGAGGACUCUGGUGGGGAUCUUGACCCCUCUUUGCUCUGAGACAGUGCAAACCUGCCUCUAUUUUAGUCACAGGUGCUUUGGGAGUCCAGAAGAGGGUGUCAGAUCACCUGGAUCACCUGUGGAUGUGAGCAGCCCAACUUUAAUCCACCAGACCAGCAGCUGGGAAGAACUCUUCAUUUUCUGUCCUGGGAAAUAGUAGCUUAAAAAUACUGUCCCUCUUGGAAGCAAAAAGAACUUUGUUGUUUUAACUAUUUAUAAUUAUGCAGUUUACUGUUUUGUCUGACUUCUUUUACAAAAUAUUUAUCUUUGGUUAUUAUCCAUAUUCAGAACUUACAGUAUUAAACAUCAUCAUUAGCUUUCUGCAAUUGACUCGCUCCUUCUACUAUCAAUGAAAAUUGGCUCUUGCCCUAUCCCCCAGCUUUUGGUUAAAAUGAAUACUGUUUUUAUAAUAAUAAAUGCAUAUGUGUUUUGUAUACAUGCAUAUGAGGACAUGUAUUAAUUUCUGCUGGAUAUGUACAGAAUGUAAUUGUCCAUGUGUUGCUUUAAUACACCUGCUGAGUGAUUCUUUAAACUCCUCUGUCCAGUUUGUAUUCUGUUAGCACUGGGCUGGGUUCAACUGCACUCAGCCACACCAAUACUGGAGCUGUCUGGUGUCUCUUUACUCUACUCUAGUAGGUUAGUAGAGGCCUCAAUCUGUUUCUCACUUACAUUUAAUUGGUGAACGAAGUAAUUGGGGAAAUUAAUCACAGCCGUUGGUCUUUUGGGCAUGCACAUUUGUCAACAGUCCAUUAAAGUCCUAUACCAAGUUUUCUACUGGACUGUAUCAUUUUUAUAUUGAUUUGAAAUGUUCUUAAUAUAGCCUAGAUGAAUUAGGAUACUAUUGAUUUUAUAUAUGUGUAUGCCAUUUUCUAAUAUAUUUUGAUUUUAAUUCUAUCUAUGAUGGUUUAGUCACCAAAUACUCUUUAAUUUUUUAAAGUUUAUUCAUUGCUAUUGCAUAUUUCUGUGAUGGGUGUGUGUGUGUAUUCUUGUGCAAGCCAGGCUACAUGUGUGCAGGUCAGAGGACAAUAUUCAGGAGUUGAUUCAUUGACUGUGCAUCUCAGAGACUGAACUUAGCUUGUCAGGUUUGUGCAGCAAGCACUGAUUUCCACUGAGCCAUUUUCACAGCCAAACACUCUUCAAAUUGGCAUAGUAAAGCUUAUUAACUGAACUGCAAUGCUGCUCAAUUUAUCAUUUUCUCUUUAAUGUAAUGUUAAUGAUAUAUACUGAUUAAUAAAUAAUUGACACUUUCCAAAAUAUUUAAUUUCCUUAUUGAUUUUUAUGAAUUUAAAGCCUUGUUCUAUGCUAUUAGAAUUUUAAUUGUGUGUGUGUGUGUUUGUGUGUGUGUGUUUAUCCAAUGAAAAAACUUCCUUGCAUUCCCACCUCCCAAGUUGUGUGGCCACAUGAAUGUAGGAUAUUAUUGAGUUCACACUGGUUCCUUUGGUAUAUUGCAUUUUCAAAACUAUACUGUUUUAUUGAUCAUAUCUUGCUAAUAACUGAUAAAGUCAUUCUUCUAUAAGACAAUUAACUAUUCUUUAAAAACAUUUGAAAUUACAUUUAUUGUGUGUCAAGAGCAUUUGUGUCACAAUACAUUUGAGGAGAAUAUUAGGACAACAUGUGGCAGAAAGUUCUCUCCUUUUAUCACAUGGGUCCUGGAAAUGAAAUCUAUGUCCAAAACCAUGGUAACAAGUGCCUCUACCUACUGAGUCAUUUUGCUGACCUUAUGCUCCUGACUAUUCUUAAAACUCUGCAACUAAGUACAAUAUUUUAAUGUACUCAUCAAUUUUCAAAUGAAGAUUUCAUCUGUUUUCUAAAUACUAAAAUGUUUUAUGAUUGGUUCUUGAGCUUUUUAAUUUGUUCAUGUGACAAGUUUUCUUAUUCUUUUUUAUGUUAAUGUUGGCUAUUUGUAUUCUUUUAUUGCUAAAACCCUGUUAUAAUUCACAGACUAAAACUGAUCCAUUUUAAUGUACUGUUUUAUUUAGUUUGCUAAUAUUUUGGUCAUCUGUAUUCAUGAAAUUGGUUCAUUUGUGAUUUUAAUUUUUUGUAAUAAUUUUGCCAGAUUUUACAUAAACCAACUAUUGAAUAGGAAUUGUUUCCUCUAAUUAUUUUCACUAUUUUCUCAUGGGAUUUGUGUAGAAAUGCUGUCAUUUUUUCCUAAGUACUUAAAAAGCUUCUUGAUGGAUUCAGUUGAAAUACUGUUUCCCUAGGAAAAUUUUUUAUUUUCACUUUUUUAUUAUUUUGUUUUUUGUUUUUCAAGACAGGGUUUCUAUGUAGCUUUGGAGCCUGUCCUGGAACU